AACGAACGCUGGCGGCAGGCUUAACACAUGCAAGUCGAGCGCCCCGCAAGGGGAGCGGCAGACGGGUGAGUAACGCGUGGGAAUCUACCCAGCUCUACGGAAUAACCCAGGGAAACUUGGACUAAUACCGUAUACGUCCUCCGGGAGAAAGAUUUAUCGGAGUUGGAUGAGCCCGCGUUGGAUUAGCUAGUUGGUGGGGUAAUGGCCUACCAAGGCGACGAUCCAUAGCUGGUCUGAGAGGAUGAUCAGCCACAUUGGGACUGAGACACGGCCCAAACUCCUACGGGAGGCAGCAGUGGGGAAUAUUGGACAAUGGGCGAAAGCCUGAUCCAGCCAUGCCGCGUGAGUGAUGAAGGCCCUAGGGUUGUAAAGCUCUUUCAACGGUGAAGAUA
rnacentral:rRNA from 1 species